rnacentral:rRNA from 1 species
GACAGAGGGUGCAAACGUUUGUUCGGAAUUACUGGGCGUAAAGCGCGUGUAGGUGGCAAGGCAAGUCGGGUGUGAAAGCCCCGGGCUCAACCCGGGAAGUGCAUUCGAUACUGCCAAGCUAGAGUCCCGGAGAGGAUGGUGGAACUCUCGGUGUAGAGGUGAAAUUCGUAGAUAUCGAGAAGAACACCGGUGGCGAAGGCGGCCAUCUGGACGGUGACUGACACUGAGACGCGAAAGCGUGGGGAGCAAACAGG